rnacentral:rRNA from 1 species
UACGAAGGGGGCUAGCGUUGCUCGGAAUCACUGGGCGUAAAGGGUGCGUAGGCGGGUCUUUUAAGUCAGGGGUGAAAUCCUGGAGCUCAACUCCAGAACUGCCUUUGAUACUGAAGAUCUUGAGUUCGGGAGAGGUGAGUGGAACUGCGAGUGUAGAGGUGAAAUUCGUAGAUAUUCGCAAGAACACCAGUGGCGAAGGCGGCUCACUGGCCCGAUACUGACGCUGAUGCACGAAAGCCAGGGGAGCAAACGGG